UUCCGGUUGAUCCUGCCGGACCUGACUGCUAUCGGAUUGAUACUAAGCCAUGCGAGUCAUUGUAGUAAUACAAGGCAGACGGCUCAGUAACGCGUAGUCAACCUACCCUAUGGACGGGAAUAACCUCGGGAAACUGAGUAUAAUGCCCGAUAGAACACUAUACCUGGAAUGGUUUGUGUUCCAAAUGAUUUAUCGCCGUAGGAUGGGACUGCGGCCUAUCAGUUUGUUGGUGAGGUAAUGGCCCACCAAGACUAUUACAGGUACGGGCUCUGAGAGGAGUAGCCCGGAGAUGGGUACUGAGACACGGACCCAGGCCCUAUGGGGCGCAGCAGGCGAGAAAACUUUGCAAUGUGCGAAAGCACGACAAGGUUAAUCCGAGUGGUUUCUGCUAAAGGAACCUUUUGACAGUCCUAGAAACACUGUUGAAUAAGGGGUGGGCAAGUUCUGGUGUCAGCCGCCGCGGUAAAACCAGCACCUCAAGUGGUCAGGAUGAUUAUUGGGCCUAAAGCAUCCGUAGCCGGCUCUGUAAGUUUUCGGUUAAACCUGUACGCUCAACGUACAGGCUGCCGGGAAUACUGCAGAGCUAGGGAGUGGGAGAGGUAGACGGUACUCGGUAGGAAGGGGUAAAAUCCUUUGAUCUAUUGAUGACCACCUGUGGCGAAGGCGGUCUACCAGAACACGUCCGACGGUGAGGGAUGAAAGCUGGGGGAGCAAACCGGAUUAGAUACCCGGGUAGUCCCAGCUGUAAACUAUGCAAACUCAGUGAUGCAUUGGCUUGUGGCCAUGCAGUGCUGCAAGGA
rnacentral:rRNA from 1 species